rnacentral:rRNA from 1 species
CUACGGGUGGCUGCAGUGAGGAAUAUUGCGCAAUGGGGGCAACCCUGACGCAGCGACGCCGCGUGGAUGAUGAAGGCCUUCGGGUCGUAAAAUCCUGUCAGAUGGAAAGAAGUGCGAGGUGGUUAAUACCCAUUUCGUUUGACGGUACCAUCAGAGGAAGCACCGGCUAACUCCGUGCCAGCAGCCGCGGUAAUACGGAGGGUGCAAGCGUUGUUCGGAAUUACUGGGCGUAAAGCGCGCGUAGGCGGUUUGUUAAGUCAGAUGUGAAAGCCCACGGCUCAACCGUGGACGUGCAUUUGAAACUGGCAGACUUGAGUAUUGGAGGGGGUGGUGGAAUUCCCGGUGUAGAGGUGAAAUUCGUAGAUAUCGGGAGGAAUACCGGUGGCGAAGGCGACCACCUGGCCAAAUACUGACGCUGAGGUGCGAAAGCGUGGGGAGCAAACAGGAUUAGAUACCCUUGUAGUC